GACGAACGCUGGCGGCGUGCUUAACACAUGCAAGUCGAACGCUGAAGCUUGGUGCUUGCACUGGGUGGAUGAGUGGCGAACGGGUGAGUAAUAAGUGAGUAACCUGCCCUCUACUCUGGGAUAAGCCUGGGAAACUGGGUCUAAUACUGGAUACGACAUGUCACCGCAUGGUGGUGUGUGGAAAGGGUUUUACUGGUUUUGGAUGGGCUCACGGCCUAUCAGCUUGUUGGUGGGGUAAUGGCUCACCAAGGCGACGACGGGUAGCCGGCCUGAGAGGGUGACCGGCCACACUGGGACUGAGACACGGCCCAGACUCCUACGGGAGGCAGCUGUGGGGAAUAUUGCACAAUGGGCGGAAGCCUGAUGCAGCGACGCCGCGUGAGGGAUGACGGCCUUCGGGUUGUAAACCUCUUUCAGCACGGAAGAAGCGAAAGUGACGGUACGUGCAGAAGAAGCGCCGGCUAACUACGUG
rnacentral:rRNA from 1 species